rnacentral:misc_RNA from 1 species
GAUGAAGAACGCAGCGAAAUGCAAUAAGUAAUGUGAAUUGCAGAAUUCAGUGAAUCAUCGAAUCUUUGAACGCACCUUGCGCUCCUUGGUAUUCCGAGGAGCAUGCCUGUUUGAGUGUCAUUAAUUUCUCAACCUCACCAGCUUUUGCUGAGUGCAGGCUUGGAUGUGGGGGUUGCAGGUCCGCUAACGUGGUCUGCUCCUCUGAAAUGUAUUAGUGGGUUGGGCCCCUAAUCUAUUGGUGUGAUAAUUAUCUACGCCGUGGAUUUGGGUGGCUGACUUAGACCCGCUUCUAACCGUCCUUCACCGGACAACUCUUGACAAUUUUGACCUCAAAUCAGGUAAGACUACCCGCUGAACUUAAGCAUAUCAAUAAGCGGAGGA